AGAGUUUGAUUAUGGCUCAGGAUGAACGCUAGCUACAGGCUUAACACAUGCAAGUCGAGGGGCAUCAGGAAGAAAGCUUGCUUUCUUUGCUGGCGACCGGCGCACGGGUGAGUAACACGUAUCCAACCUGCCCUUUACUCGGGGAUAGCCUUUCGAAAGAAAGAUUAAUACCCGAUAGCAUAAUGAUUCCGCAUGGUUUCAUUAUUAAAGGAUUCCGGUAAAGGAUGGGGAUGCGUUCCAUUAGGUUGUUGGUGAGGUAACGGCUCACCAAGCCUUCGAUGGAUAGGGGUUCUGAGAGGAAGGUCCCCCACAUUGGAACUGAGACACGGUCCAAACUCCUACGGGAGGCAGCAGUGAGGAAUAUUGGUCAAUGGGCGUUAGCCUGAACCAGCCAAGUAGCGUGAAGGAUGAAGGCUCUAUGGGUCGUAAACUUCUUUUAUAUAAGAAUAAAGUGCAGUAUGUAUACUGUUUUGUAUGUAUUAUAUGAAUAAGGAUCGGCUAACUCCGUGCCAGCAGCCGCGGUAAUACGGAGGAUCCGAGCGUUAUCCGGAUUUAUUGGGUUUAAAGGGAGCGUAGGUGGACUGGUAAGUCAGUUGUGAAAGUUUGCGGCUCAACCGUAAAAUUGCAGUUGAUACUGUCAGUCUUGAGUACAGUAGAGGUGGGCGGAAUUCGUGGUGUAGCGGUGAAAUGCUUAGAUAUCACGAAGAACUCC
rnacentral:rRNA from 1 species